rnacentral:rRNA from 1 species
UGGGGAAUAUUGGACAAUGGGCGCAAGCCUGAUCCAGCCAUACCGCGUGAGUGAAGAAGGCCCUCGGGUUGUAAAGCUCUUUUGUUGGGAAAGAAAUCCUGCCGGUUAAUAACCGGUGGGAAUGACGGUACCCUAAGAAUAAGCUGCGCUAAC